GAGUUUGAUCCUGGCUCAGGACGAACGCUGGCGGCGUGCCUAACACAUGCAAGUCGAGCGAUGAAGUUUCUUCGGGAACGGAUUAGCGGCGGACGGGUGAGUAACACGUGGGCAACCUGCCUUAUAGAGGGGAAUAGCCUUCCGAAAGGAAGAUUAAUACCGCAUAAGAUUGUAGCUUCGCAUGAAGUAGCAAUUAAAGGAGUAAUCCGCUAUAAGAUGGGCCCGCGGCGCAUUAGCUAGUUGGUGAGGUAACGGCUCACCAAGGCGACGAUGCGUAGCCGACCUGAGAGGGUGAUCGGCCACAUUGGGACUGAGACACGGCCCAGACUCCUACGGGAGGCAGCAGUGGGGAAUAUUGCACAAUGGGGGAAACCCUGAUGCAGCAACGCCGCGUGAGUGAUGACGGCCUUCGGGUUGUGAGGCUCUGUCUUUGGGGACGAUAAUGACGGUACCCAAGGAGGAAGCCACGGCUAACUACGUGCCA
rnacentral:rRNA from 1 species